rnacentral:rRNA from 1 species
UACGGAGGGUGCGAGCGUUGUCCGGAAUCACUGGGCGUAAAGGGCGCGUAGGCGGCUUGUCGCGUCGGAUGUGAAAGCCCGGGGCUUAACUCCGGGUCUGCAUUCGAUACGGGCAGGCUAGAGUUCGGUAGGGGAGAUCGGAAUUCCUGGUGUAGCGGUGAAAUGCGCAGAUAUCAGGAGGAACACCGGUGGCGAAGGCGGAUCUCUGGGCCGUAACUGACGCUGAGGAGCGAAAGCAUGGGGAGCGAACAGG